CUUUCCUGGAAUAGAGCUCCUCCAUCUGCAGUACUGCUUGGGAGUGCCUUGUGGUCUCUCCCUUCAAAAUCCAGCCUUAAAUUCCCCUCCUCCAGGAAGCAUACCUUGACUUAACCAAACCUCCCUGGUUGAAUUUUUUGAAUGACUAAACCUGAAUUAGGCUGAUGAACUGGUCAGCACCCUUUGAGAAGCAGGUUUGUUGGGCUGUGAGGAAGGGCUCUGGCCCCAGCAUUUCCUCUCCAGUCUACCCAUCCUCUUUUUGGACAACCUGAUGUACACUAACAUCAGAUGGCAACAAUGGCCAAUAGGAGGCAAUGGAACAAUGUCUUCAGUAUUCCGAGGGACAGAGAUUUGCGGCUUGAAGGACUGUUCAUCAGAGGGCAGUGCCUGCCUCAUCUGCAUGCUGC
rnacentral:lncRNA from 10 species